AACGAGAAGCGAACCUGCGAAGGCAAGCGGAUCUCUUAAAGCCGUUCUCAGUUCGGACUGUAGGCUGCAACUCGCCUACACGAAGCUGGAAUCGCUAGUAAUCGCGGAUCAGCACGCCGCGGUGAAUACGUUCCCGGGCCUUGUACACACCGCCCGUCACACCAUGAGAGUCUGUAACACCCAAAGCCGGUGGGAUAACCUUUAUAGGAGUCAGCCGUCUAAGGUAGGACAGAUGAUUAGGGUGAAGUCGUAACAAGGUAAC
rnacentral:rRNA from 1 species